UACAUCCUUUUCCUGCAUGGGCGAGGGAGGAAAGACGGAGCAAUCUGUCACUUGUGGAUGGGGCUGCGGCGCAUUAGCUAGGUGGUGGGGUAAAGGCCUACCAAGGCGACGAUGCGUAGCCGACCUGAGAGGGUGAUCGGCCACACUGGGACUGAGACACGGCCCAGACUCCUACGGGAGGCAGCAGUAGGGAAUCUUCCGCAAUGGGCGAAAGCCUGACGGAGCAACGCCGCGUGAGUGAUGAAGGUUUUCGGAUCGUAAAGCUCUGUUGCCAGGGAAGAACGUCUUGUAGAGUAACUGCUACAAGAGUGACGGUACCUGAGAAGAAAGCCCCGGCUAACUACGUGCCAGCAGCCGCGGUAAUACGUAGGGGGCAAGCGUUGUCCGGAAUUAUUGGGCGUAAAGCGCGCGCAGGCGGCUCUUUAAGUCUGGUGUUUAAUCCCGAGGCUCAACUUCGGGUCGCACUGGAAACUGGGGAGCUUGAGUGCAGAAGAGGAGAGUGGAAUUCCACGUGUAGCGGUGAAAUGCGUAGAGAUGUGGAGGAACACCAGUGGCGAAGGCGACUCUCUGGGCUGUAACUGACGCUGAGGCGCGAAAGCGUGGGGAGCAAACAGGAUUAGAU
rnacentral:rRNA from 1 species